CCUACGGGAGGCAGCAGUGGGGAAUUUUGGACAAUGGGCGCAAGCCUGAUCCAGCCAUGCCGCGUGCGGGAAGAAGGCCUUCGGGUUGUAAACCGCUUUUGUCAGGGAAGAAAUCCUUUGGGUUAAUACCUCGGAGGGAUGACGGUACCUGAAGAAUAAGCACCGGCUAACUACGUGCCAGCAGCCGCGGUAAUACGUAGGGUGCGAGCGUUAAUCGGAAUUACUGGGCGUAAAGCGUGCGCAGGCGGUUAUGCAAGACAGAUGUGAAAUCCCCGGGCUCAACCUGGGAACUGCAUUUGUGACUGCAUAGCUAGAGUACGGUAGAGGGGGAUGGAAUUCCGCGUGUAGCAGUGAAAUGCGUAGAUAUGCGGAGGAACACCGAUGGCGAAGGCAAUCCCCUGGACCUGUACUGACGCUCAUGCACGAAAGCGUGGGGAGCAAACAGGAUUAGAUACCCUGGUAGUCCACGCCCUAAACGAUGUCAACUGGUUGUUGGACGGCUUGCUGUUCAGUAACGAAGCUAACGCGUGAAGUUGACCGCCUGGGGAGUACGGCCGCGAAGGUUGAAACGUUAAAUGAAUUGACGG
rnacentral:rRNA from 1 species